ensembl:snoRNA
ACAUGAGUUUUGAUUUAUCACAGGCCCAAAUGCCCUGGUCUUCUCAUAGUGCUCCAUGCUAGCGCAAACUGUGGUCUCAAAUCAUUGCCUGGGCUCUGUGUCCAUUGGUUGCUGGUACUGAUGUGUUUUGCAUAGUG